AUUGAACGCUGGCGGAAUGCUUUACACAUGCAAGUCGAACGGCAGCACGGGGCAACCUGGUGGCGAGUGGCGAACGGUGAGUAAUACAUCGGAACGUGCCCAAUCGUGGGGGAUAACGUAGCGAAAGUUACGCUAAUACCGCAUACGAUCUACGGAUGAAAGCGGGGGAUCGCAAGACCUCGCGCGAAUGGAGCGGCCGAUGUCAGAUUAGGUAGUUGGUGGGGUAAAGGCUCACCAAGCCAACGAUCUGUAGCUGGUCUGAGAGGACGACCAGCCACACUGGAACUGAGACACGGUCCAGACUCCUACGGGAGGCAGCAGUGGGGAAUUUUGGACAAUGGGCGCAAGCCUGAUCCAGCCAUUCCGCGUGCAGGAUGAAGGCCU
rnacentral:rRNA from 1 species